AUGCGUCCCAGCUACCUCCAUGUCUUCAGGGCAGAGAAGUGCAUCACAUCCUUGAUGUGGUUGGAGAGCUGGUUUUGUACCCAGGGCCAUUAUGAGCACAUCCCCUCCCUCAAUGUUCUCAGGUACGUGGCACUGCAGGGGUUGUCACUGACAACCUUCAUUUACCAGGGAGCUGGACAAGUUCCUGCUUCCCCAAGGGUGCUGGGUUGUUCUCCAAGCAAGUCUUUUUGGGCAUGGGAAAUGAGAGCAUUCAGGAGAGCUCCUCAACACAGCAUGGUAUCUUUGGCCAGGAGGCUUGUGCAUCCUCUCCACCCUCCAAGUCUCUCCCAAGGUACAUCUUCUCUCACAAAAGAGAGCUGAGAGCUCUAAGAUUGUAACAUAUUUCAGUCUCCAGCCCAUACUGCUGAAAGAGGUUUUUCAUUUCCAAGUGCAGAUCUCGUCAUUUGUCCUUCUUGAAUGCUAGAGGGCUCCUGUGGCCCAGUUCUCCAGACAAUCACUUUAUAGAAUACUUGCUUUAUAGAAGCCAUGACCUGGAAUGCAUUAGCAGGCUUUCACUGGUUGGCUCUUGUCAGGCUGUCUUUUUUUUGACACCCAUUCACUGCGGGGAAGGCUCCCCCACCUUCUCAGAACUCUUUUAGGGGAUGCAGCAGCCUGGGAGAUCUUGUAGGUGAAGACUGAGAGAGUCAUUGUCUUCUCUGUCUCCACACUUCUUAGAUUACCUUCCGUCAUCUGAAAGACACCCCCUUCCUAAGCAGCCCAGGAUAUUGUCAGAUCAGAAUGACAGAAAUGUGCCAUUUCCACAAGGGCCCAGGGCUUUCUCAUGGUGCCCUCCAGAACCCCUGUCCUCUGCUGUGAAGGUCUUUGGCAGCCAUUCAUCUCCAGCCUGCAGUGGGGAGCAGAUUUUUCUUCCCCCAGUGCAGGACCUUGGAUAAAGGAGUUAAGCAGUGCUGGCCCCACUCUAGGCCCUGCAGUGCACCAGGUGUGAGUGUCUGCCAGCUGGACUUUGUGCCCCUUGUCCCAACCCUUGGAGACCAACAGUUUCACAGAUUUCUGUCCUCUGUACUACCCUUUUCCCCAGCUUGUAUUUUGUCAAUUUGUCUCUAAGGAUUGUUACAGGCAACAUCAUCAAAGGCCUAAGUUAGACAAGAUUAACAUUUACUGAACUUCCUUCACCCACCAGAGCUAGGCACAAAAUCAGACAAUGUAAUGAGAUUUGUCAAGCCUCUGGAAAUCCAUGCUGACACCUCACUGGCAACUUCUUUUAGCCUGAGAAAUUGCUUCUGGGUUGAUUUGCUCCAUUUCUUUUGUAGGGAUUGAGGUGAGGUUGCUUGACAUGUCUUUUUCUUCAUGGCCUUCUUGA
rnacentral:lncRNA from 1 species